AGAAAGAAGAGAGGAGAAACACAGAGGACGAGAAGGAAAGUGAAGGGGGGGGCUACACCGGGGGAAUGGGAGGGUUUGGGAAGGCGGGUAGGCUGACACCAGGAGUGAGCAGAACGAGGGGGGAGAGCGAAUGAGGAGGCAGACAGGCUCCCAGGGCGAUGUGACAUUUGCCAGGAGAGGAAGGCUGUUUGGCAAGAAUCCUGACAGACAAAAGCUGGAGGAGGAUGGAACAAGACGGCAGAAUAAAAAGCUCCACUGAUCAUACCCCGCCCCCACAAGGACACCAGGUUAACAACUACCUGCAUAGAAGAAACACCUUCAUAAGAACCAAAAAUCAGGAGGGCAGUCAUUCACACCUGUAACCCUAGCACUUUG